UUUGUUUUUCUGAUAUGAAUUUAUCUCUCCUCAUCACGUAAGAUUUGUAUCUGAUAUCUUCAUGCACAACAUUUCUGAUUGUUUUUUCUGACACAUGAAAUGUUUUUGCAAUUGACCUCAUUGAUUUUCUUGGAUUGUCUUCAAUGUUUUGCUAAACUUCCUGAAUAAAUUUAGGUGUCCUGGUAGAAUCAGAGCAUUCUGAUUGCUUCUUUCACAUUUUGAUACA